CGUUCUGUGGCUGAAAAAAGCGUAAAUCUUUUAAAUUUAUUAUAGACCCUCUCUGAACGA
rnacentral:tRNA from 1 species